rnacentral:rRNA from 1 species
UACGUAGGGGGCUAGCGUUGUCCGGAAUCAUUGGGCGUAAAGAGCGCGUAGGCGGCCCGGUAAGUCCGCUGUAAAAGUCAAAGGCUCAACCUUUGAAUGUCAGUGGAUACUGCCGGGCUAGAGUCCGGAAGAGGCGAGUGGAACUCCUGGUGUAGCGGUGGAAUGCGCAGAUAUCAGGAAGAACACCAACGGCGAAGGCGGCUCACUGGCCCGAUACUGACGCUGAGGCACGAAAGCGUGGGGAGCAAACAGG